rnacentral:rRNA from 1 species
GGAAUAUUGCACAAUGGGCGAAAGCCUGAUGCAGCAACGCCGCGUGGGUGAUGAAGGCCUUCGGGUCGUAAAACCCUUUUCUGGGGGAAGAGCAAGGACGGUACCCCAGGAAUAAGCACCGGCUAACUACGUGCCAGCAGCCGCGGUAACACGUAGGGUGCAAGCGUUAUCCGGAUUUACUGGGCGUAAAGCGCGCGCAGGCGGCAUCGUAAGUUGGACGUGAAAUCUUUCGGCUUAACCGGGAGGCGCCGUUCAAGACUACGAUGCUCGAGGGCAGAAGAGGGGAGUGGAAUUCCCGGUGUAGUGGUAAAAUGCGUAGAUAUCGGGAGGAACACCAGUGGCGAAGGCGACUCCCUGGUCUGCACCUGACGCUGAGGCGCGAAAGCGUGGGGAGCGAACGGGAUUAGA